UUUNGGCCCCGCUGAACUUAAGCAUAUCAAUAAGCGGAGGAAAAGAAACCAACAGGGAUUGCCUUAGUAACGGCGAGUGAAGCGGCAACAGCUCAAAUUUGAAAUCUGGCUUCGGCCCGAGUUGUAAUUUGCAGAGGAUGUUUAUGGUGCAGUACCUACCGAGUUCCCUGGAACGGGACGCCACAGAGGGUGAGAGCCCCGUCUGGUUGGAUACUAAACCUGUGUUAAACUCCUUCAACGAGUCGAGUAGUUUGGGAAUGCUGCUCUAAAUGGGAGGUAAAUCUCUUCUAAAGCUAAAUACCGGCCAGAGACCGAUAGCGCACAAGUAGAGUGAUCGAAAGAUGAAAAGCACCUUGAAAAGGGGGUUAAACAGUACGUGAAAUUGUUGAAAGGGAAGCGAUUAUGACCAGACUUGUGCCGUGUGGCUCAUCCGAGGUUCUCCCCGGUGCACUCCACACGGCUCAGGCCAACAUCGGUUUUCGUUGGGGGAUAAGAAUAGUAGGAACGUAGCUUUCUUCGGAGAGUGUUAUAGCCUAUUAUACGAUACCCUGACGGGGACCGAGGACCGCGCUUCGGCUAGGAUGUUGGCGUAAUGGUCAUUACCGA
rnacentral:rRNA from 1 species